rnacentral:sRNA from 1 species
AUGAGCAGGCAGACAGGCACAGCAUCCAUGACACAGAUGUGCGGCACACCUGGAAGAGCAACUGGUUGUGACCAGUCCCCCAAGAAGAGCCUCCUCCCCUGGCUCUGAGAUCUCUGGUUCUCAGGAGAAGGGAGCUGGGGGAACCUAUGCAAAGAGCUGCAUUUGAAGCCUGCAGCGGAGCUUCACAGCCAGGCAUCGUGGGGCAUUCUGAGUGGGGCAGUUCUAAGGCACUUCCUGAGAUGGGGAAUCCCUGAAUUAAACUGAGACCCCCGGUGAAGUUGGUCAGCACUGAAGAGGGAGUUCACACCUGCUAUAGACUUGAGCCCACUGACAGGGAGGAUUUCAUUGCAAACUUGAUCUC